CGCGUUUCGCAACAUGUCCUACACAUGUACACAUUGGCAGAGAGAAGAGGUUUAUUCAAGGAUUUCGAGCGCCAUCGGAUGCGGCACGAUGCCAACUUUACCACCCCUAGUGGCACACUACUGAUUCAGUCCCAAUGGAAUUGCACCCUCAGUGUCGUGGCCUUGAUGACUAUGCAUGCGACUGGUUAUGUUGAUGUGGACAGACUUCGACGACUACAGGCGCUCCAGUUCGCGACGAACGCCCGAGGCAAUUCAGCGGUCGAAACUGCCGCCGCAGUUUGGUGAGUCCUUCGUGUUCCAGGAUCGCUUAACGACAUUGCGCCAUCAACCCACAGGCUGCCGGCUGCAGUCGCUAUUGCAGUUUGCAGUUAAACUUUGCAGAGGCACCGAAUCGAGCGCGUGUUAUUGUCGCAUAUCGUUGUCUCUGUGUGAGUGUUGUAUUCGAGGUGAUUUUAGCGUAAUGACUUCUUUAAUUAGCAGCCUGCUCUGGAAUACAUGGAGCGUGUUUUGCCGAGCAUCGAUGUGCCAUCAUUGCCAUGAUUGCGAUGAUUGCCCACGUUCAAUGCAUGCCUAAUUAGCCGCAUGCCGCGACAAUUUCGUUAUAAUUUUCAGCUGCGAUUAUGCAAACCGGGAAAUUUGCUUCUCUCGCUUCACGUCGUAUCGUGUUAGCAGCGUGCAUUGGUAUAACAAACAGCAAAUUAAUAUCAAAUAUCAAACGCGCAGUAAUAAGCUGUAAUUGAUGUACUGCGUUAAUUAUCGACAUGCGAAUGGACAUUUUACGAUGGGUAGGGCGCUUGUAAUUGCAUUACUUGUAUUUUCGUGUUUCAUGUUUACGAUUCGCCCUUUUUUCGUGUUAUUUGAUUAUGCUUUGAAAGGGAUCAGAAUCAAAAAGACUUGCAGCCAAAUCAAAUUAAUUUAUUUUUUUAUGGGCGAAAAUGUUUUAUGAAAGGAAAUUAAUUGCUUUUCAUUAAUUGAACUAAGAAAUUAAAUAAUUUUCCCCACGCUGAAUAAAAUUCACUAUUUAUAUAUUUACCUAUAUGCAGCACAUAUAACAAUAAAACAAUGUUUACUUCAA